GUAUCAAUUCCCAACACAAGUCUCUGAAUGUUUUAAACAAUAUUAAAGACAUAUAUUAUUAUUAUUAUUAUUAUUAUUAUUAUUAUUAUUAUUAUUAGUUUUAAAAAGUGAAACAAAAUAUCCUAACCAAAACAUGACCUUUCCUCAAGUAGGAGCAAACGAUCACAGAAGAAAAAAAAAUGGAAGAGUCGAAACAUGAAGGGAAACGCACAGCAACACCCAAAGAUAGUACAGCAAGGAAAGACGAUGAUGAAGCAUAAGUCAAAAGGAAUGGAGAGCAAAGACCAGACCAGAAUUAAGUUUUAGGCUUACCUUUCCACGAAGAUAUUGACGGUGAUGUUGGGUCCUCUAAACUCCGGCGCGUUUGAUUCUCCGACGGCGUUCAAAUGGAAUCUCGCGUCUUCUCUGCGGAAAAGCACAAAGUCUAGAUCUUGUGGAGGGUGGUGAGUGUGGAACUCUUUCCCCAUCGAAGAACAACUUGAUUUCCAGGACGAAGCAGGGCAAAGUGACCAAGAAGGGAUAAUGAUUCAAGCAUGAGCAAAACAAAUCUGAUCAUCAGAAGCUUUCCAUCGGCCUUUCACCUGAGGCCUAUCACGAAAUGCAAAAAGAUCUCUCAACCAGUGAAUCACUUGAUAGGAAAUCAAUGACUCGUACGAACCAUCACGCAUCUGAAGUUGUCUUACUUCUAAGGUCGCCAGGAGUACUUAGAGUCGCUACAACCUUCUAUGUAGUUCUCAAGAGCCGAUGAAAGCAACAGGAUGAUUGGAGGCGGAAGAUUCAGUGCAACAAAAUAAAUCCUAUCUGCAGGUAUAGACAGUACGACCUUCAGAAGUUCUAACAGGUGCAACGUAACCAGAUAUGCUGUCGGUUUGGAUGUGUAAGAAGCAAGCAAGGCAGAGGAAAUGAAAUCGAGUAGUCCAACUUAUCGAGAUGCUUGUAACUCAGGGUCCUUUCCCUCCACAUACCUGAUCAUUUCAGAAGUUAUCAACCCUAUGCUUGACGCCCCUUCUUCCCUUACUUCCAAUGGCUUGAGUUGAAUCUCCUUUUGAUUUUUGGUUUUUUGGUAUUGACUGUUAUGUGGUUUGGUUUGAUUUUCGCAGGGCCACGGUUGUGUUUCUUGCAAUGCCAAUCGCAUGAUAACACUUCCAUUGAGGAUACAUCAACUUGAAUAGUUUGGGACCUAAGUAUGCAUGUGUGACCUGUUGGACCUGCUCCUUGUUGCAUCUAAGAUGAGUUAUGCUGAGGCAGACAACUCAGAUGCUGUUGUUCUCUUAUGAUUAGCAGGACAUAGCCUAAGCUGGAGCAAACUUCCAUUUGCCAAUAACCAAUAUUGGCCAUCACAAGGGUGUCAACUAAAUGGGGUGAAGUUUUGGUUCCAAGAAUCAGCUGAAGACCCUGUGGAGGGUCAUGAUCUUUCUCGGAGCAAUGACCUGUGAGGACAAGGGCUUCCAGUUUAAAAUAUGCUUGCAGUGUUCUUGUGUCACCGAGGUUCUCAAGCAGAAUGUUAUCCAAGGCAUGAACAGUGAGAACGGGCUCAACAAGACAGGGUUCUGGAACAUCAAGAUUCAUGGUGAGAAUCUUAGAUAAUGGCAGGUUGGCAAAAAUACUUUUGGGCCAUUCGUCAAAGAAUCAGUGUUGCUAGAGUCAUCCAUUGACGGUACUACAUAUUUGUAGUAGUUCUUCAGAGGAAGAUCAACAAGGGAACUCAUUGGAUUCAGCACAAUCCUCAUGCUGGGCUGAAUGUAUUUCCACAAAACUCGAAGAAUCCCAGACAACUUUUGGCUGGUUGGACUUAAAGGAUCCAGAACCGCAUCAAUAUGCAUGCUAGAAUUUUCAUUGUUCAGAAUAAUGGCAUUGUGUUGAGCACUCAAACCUCAAAAUGAGCACUUUCAGAAUGUCGCUCUCUCAUAGACAUUGAAGAUGAUACAGACAUGACAAUAUCACUAAUGAAUUUGCUUGUCAACAUGUCAGGGUCAACAUCUUCCCAUUUCAUUAAAGUUUAUGCAAUCUACUAGCCAUGUAGGUGUUAAUAGUAUUGAGAGCGGAGGAUUUGUUAAGAAUGGCGAGUUUGGAGUAUCCACUUCCUUCAACCAAAACGUUAUGGUGAUGAUCAACGGAGAGAGCUGGGGUUUGGCUUAGCUGCUGUCGCCGGUGAUGGUGGUGGUUUGCCAUUUGUUGUAACAACCUCCGUACUGCCUUUUUUUUCUACAUUAUAUUCAUAACCUUGGUAGCAAAUCUUUGUAUUUGAAACUUAAAUGGUCCAUUGUCUGUUCUGAAACUGCUACCUGGAAUGUACUUGAGCCAAACUUGGAAACCUCCAAAGUUCCAUUCAACUCAAGCAUAAGGACUAAUUCCGUGGUGAACAUAAAGAUCUGCUUGCUGCACCAACUUUAUGAACUUUACUAAAACAUAGUUCCCCUUAAAAAAUAGUAUUUUCCAAGUGAAGGUUCAUGCCCAUUCCGAAACACAUAAUUUUGAAUCACAUCCAAUCCUCCUUCUUUAGCCUUUUGGAUAAGAUCUGGCCACAUCUCAUGAGUACUUCUGGGGUAAUGAAUGGAGCCAGAAAGUAGUAUCCUUCUUUGUCCAUUGAUCGUGGUAGCUUUAUAAUCAAUGAAACAGAAACUUCAUGUUGAGCAAUAAGUGAAGUCGCAAGUAUUACAAAUAACAACAUAUUGAGCUUGAAGCCCACAAAGAAUAAUGAACCUUGAACAUGUUAUGUGUUUUUCAACAUUUCAUCCUAAGCUUCAAUGUAUAUAUAUAUAUAUAUAGAAAGAGAGAAAGUAGGGAUUAGGAUCCUUGGGAUUUUGGGGAUGGGUUGGAUUUGGUCCAAAUUCCAAUUUGCAAAUUAUGUAUGCUUUGUAUAAUUUUAUGAUUCAUAAUGAAUGUGACACUUGAUGUGAAUGAAAAUUGUU